GCCGGAGUGGUGAAAUUGGUAGACGCGCUGGACUCAAAAUCCAGUGGCCCUUGCGGCCAUGCCGGUUCAAUUCCGGCCUCCGGCACCA
rnacentral:tRNA from 2 species